rnacentral:misc_RNA from 1 species
UGUGUUGCUUACCUACUAAAAGGAAUUCGAUCGUACCGUUGCCCCUUUUCGCCCGAUGCCCUCUGUGGGUGUGGGGUGGACGCCAGGCACGCUACGUGUUCCUCGCAUGCCUUGUCUUGUUGCGGGGCUGUUGAGGCCCACGGAGCUGUUGCCCGUUCUCUCGGAUGCGGAAUGUCAUGCGUGGUGGGUGCGGGGUCUCGGCCUCCGAUCGCCCAAGCUAUGCAUUUGUCCCUUGACACGAACGACUGUCGCGGCCGUCUUGAUCCCGUCGUAGCCUACGUGCUCGACGGUGCUCAUGCGGGCGUCGGCGUCGUCGAGGAAUGCUACCUGGUUGAUCCUGCCAGUAGUCAU